rnacentral:rRNA from 1 species
AGCGAACGUUAGCGGCGCGCCUAACACAUGCAAGUCGCACGAGAAACGGAGCAAUCCGCGGUACAGUGGCGCACGGGUGAGUAACACGUGGAUGACCUUCCCUGGAGUGGUGGAUAACCUGCCGAAAGGCGGGCUAAUACAGCAUAGGACCACGACGCUUUGGCGAUGUGGUGAAAGCGGGCCUCUAUAUAUAAGCUCGCGCUCCGGGACGGGUCCGCGUCCCAUCAGCUAGUUGGUGAGGUAACGGCUCACCAAGGCUUCGACGGGUAGCUGGUCUGAGAGGAUGGCCAGCCACACUGGAACUGAGACACGGUCCAGACUCCUACGGGAGGCAGCAGUGGGGAAUCUUGUGCAAUGGGCGAAAGCCUGACGCAGCGACGCCGCGU